ensembl:snRNA U6 U6 spliceosomal RNA
GUGCUUAAUCCGGCAGCCCAUACACUAACAUCGGAAUGAUACAGAAAAGAUUAGCAUGGCCCAUACACAUUGAUAACUUGCAAAUUCGUGAAGCAAUCCAUAUUUUU